rnacentral:rRNA from 1 species
UACGAAGGGGGAUAGCGUUGUUCGGAAUUACUGGGCGUAAAGCGCACGAAGGCGGAUUAGUAAGUCAGGGGUGAAAUCCCGGGGCUCAACCUCGGAACUGCCUUUGAUACUGCUGAUCUCGAGUCCGGAAGAGGUGAGUGGAAUUCCUAGUGUAGAGGUGAAAUUCGUAGAUAUUAGGAAGAACACCAGUGGCGAAGGCGGCUCACUGGUCCGGUACUGACGCUGAGGUGCGAAAUCGUGGGGAGCAAACAGG